UUUAUUUUCCUUUUUCUUUCUGUUCCCUUCCCUUCUUCUUCCAGUCGUCGACACCCUCCUCCCUCAAAAUUUUUCUUCCUCGCUGUCAAGCCUUAAUCAGCCUCCAGUCUUCUUCUUCCGGUUAUGAAGAGUCGACGUCGCACCGCUCCCAAUCGACGCCUCAGACCGCUGCGCGUCCAUCCGAAGCAGUGCGCCACUCUUCGUCUGCGUUUUGAAGCCACCGGCGCUGUUAGCCCCCGCCGCGCCAGAUCCGAAUUUCACCAGCUCUGACUUCAGCGCCAGCCACUCCCUCACCCAGUCGAAGCCCGCGCCUCCUCGCUUUUCCAUUCACGAGUGCCAACCCGAGCAACAGUCCUCCGUUCACUAUUGCACUGCCCAGUCGAGGGCGUUGUCUUGUCUGUUAGUCAUGCGUCAGAUCCGUCAAUCAUGGGUCUACCGCCACUGACCAGAUCCGUCCAGCCCAGAUCUGCUUCAUCUCACCAGAUCCAGCCGCACCAUUGCCGGUUGCCGUCGUCCCUACCUCGUCGGGUCCACUUUGUUUUGAUUGGAUUUCUUGAGGAUUUUGAACAAUCACUAGAGUUUGACCUUGAUUUAUUGGUAUUCGUCAUAUUUUGGAUGUUAGGACAAAAUUUUAGGUUGUUGAAGUUGUCGUCCAACCGAUUAAGGUGUAGUCGAUGAAUCUUGGUGAAGGGUUUGGAUCUUGAGGUUUCCUGGAGUCUUUGUUUUGGGUGAUUUAAGUUUGAUCCUGUGGGUUUUUGAUUUCGUUGGGCAAGGAAGAGGUUGAGUUUGCUAGUUUCUAGAGUUUGCGAUUAGAGGUAAGGGUAGAGAUGCAUCGGCGAUUGAUUAGCGCAAUUCGUGAUCGAGCUACUGGGACCAGUUUUAUGCUUCCUCUCAUGAGAUUUAUAUUUCUUUUCAUGUUUUUUUCAAUUUUCAGUUUUGAUGUUUGAAACUUACUGAGAAUUGUUUUCAGACUUAUUUAUUAUCAUUUAUGAU